CAAUACCCGGAUGGAAGUGUAAUGGCCGCCAUCAGGGACUCGCAGGCAAUGGGGACUACGACAGAUAUCAUCUCUUCUUUUGAUCACUGUUCCUGAUUGUGACAUUGUGCAAGUGUUAAAUUGUGUGCCUUUUGUUCCUGAAGAAAGAGGUCCUGGGAUCUUUGAAAUCCUAAGAUUCUUGGAUACUACAGUAUCAUAAAAUUCCUCUAAAUGGAGUAAGUAUACACAUAAGUAUAAUGAUAAAUUAGGAAUAAGAUUAUUUAUUUAACUGUUGAAAUAGCUGUUGUAUAGUAUACCACCUUACAUUAUUGGUUUAA
rnacentral:lncRNA from 1 species